CUUUAUAUUAAGGUAUGUUGAUCCACUCUAAAUGACCAUCAUAUUACAUGGAUCUACUUCAGCAAUAACUUGUCUCAUUCUUGUUAGUAAUAACUUGUUUCUUUCUUGUUAAAACGCAUCAGCCUGAGCAAAAAUUGAGGCCCACUAUGUCUGAAAUUGCGGAUUCGCUGGAAGAUCAUCUGCUACAGAGACAAACUGAAGCAGUUGCUAUGGCUAUUGAGUUUUCACACAACUCAUUGAUCCACCAACAAUUUCAGUUCUAAAUACCUUAUUGAGGAUUGAAAUUGGUGGAAAGUCUACAAGGGAACUUUUGCGGAAGAUAAGGUUUAUAGGUUUAUGUUGUUAAACAAUUUAAAAAUAUGUUGCUUCUGCGCAACAAUGAUCAAAUUGUGGAACUUGGAACCACCCGAAUAUUGUUAGUUUAAUAGGGUUCUGCAUAUUCGGUAAGAAAAGAUAUAUUAUCACCGAUUUGAUGCCUUCCAUGUCUUUGGCAAGUCUUAUUUACGGUUAUUGUUGAACAUGGCCUAUUUUUAAUUAUUUUGAUUCAAUUGAUUUCUUGUUUAUUUAUUAAACUUAUCUUCUUGUGAAAUAGAUGCUCCCCUAGGGUCCCAACAACUAAAUUGAAGGGCAAGAAUAUUGGACUAAAUUGAAGGGCAAGAAUAUUGGUUGCAGAGGGUCCAAAAAUAUUGAUUGCACUCCAAGUCCCUUUGGCGCUGAGACAUCUGCACAAACAGCAGCUUGGUUUGACAACAAAACAACAUCAUUCUAUCUCUAUCAUUCAGAUCACUUUUUAGAAGAUAACUUAUUCUAUUAUUAAUUUGUAUUUGUACUAUUGGAUUUUUGAAAUGUCCAAUAAGUUGUGUCUUAUUACUCCCGUGCGAUGCACGUUUAUAAAUUGAGGAUAUUUUUCAAUAAUAUAAUUGAGAAAUUUUUCUUAGUUA